GAUGAACGCUGGCGGCGUGCCUAAUACAUGCAAGUCGAACGAAACUUCUUUAUCACCGAGUGCUUGCACUCACCGAUAAAGAGUUGAGUGGCGAACGGGUGAGUAACACGUGGGCAACCUGCCCAAAAGAGGGGGAUAACACUUGGAAACAGGUGCUAAUACCGCAUAACCAUAGUUACCGCAUGGUAACUAUGUAAAAGGUGGCUAUACUACCGCUUUUGGAUGGGCCCGCGGCGCAUUAGCUAGUUGGUAGGGUAAAGGCUUACCAAGGCAAUGAUGCGUAGCCGAAUUGAGAGGUUGAUCGGCCACAUUGGGACUGAGACGCGGCCCAAACUCCUACGGGAGGCAGCAGUAGGGAAUCUUCCACAAUGGGCGAAAGCCUGAUGGAGCAACGCCGCGUGGGUGAAGAAGGUCUUCGGAUCGUAAAACCCUGUUGUUAGAGAAGAAAGUGCGUGAGAGUAACUGUUCACGUUUCGACGGUAUCUAACCAGAAAGCCACUGCUAACUACGUG
rnacentral:rRNA from 1 species